rnacentral:rRNA from 1 species
UACGAAGGGGGCUAGCGUUGUUCGGAAUCACUGGGCGUAAAGCGCACGUAGGCGGAUUGUUAAGUCAGGGGUGAAAUCCCGGGGCUCAACCCUGGAAUGGCCUUUGAAACUCCCAGCCUUGAGUUCGAGAGAGGUGAGUGGAAUUCCGAGUGUAGAGGUGAAAUUCGUAGAUAUUCGGAGGAACACCAGUGGCGAAGGCGGCUCACUGGCUCGACACUGACGCUGAGGUGCGAAAGCGUGGGGAGCAAACAGG